AGAGUUUGAUCAUGGCUCAGAACGAACGCUGGCGGCGUGCUUAACACAUGCAAGUCGAACGCGAAAGUUUUCUUCGGAAGACGAGUAGAGUGGCGCACGGGUGAGUAACGCGUAAAUAAUCUACCCCUGCAUCCGGGAUAACCCACCGAAAGGUGAGCUAAUACCGGAUACGUUCUUUUAAUCGCGAGAUUUUAAGAAGAAAGGUGGCCUCUGAUAUAAGCUACUGUGCAGGGAGGAGUUUGCGUACCAUUAGCUAGUUGGCAGGGUAAUGGCCUACCAAGGCAACGAUGGUUAGCGGGUCUGAGAGGAUGAUCCGCCACACUGGAACUGGAACACGGACCAGACUCCUACGGGAGGCAGCAGUGAGGAAUAUUGCGCAAUGGGGGCAACCCUGACGCAGCGACGCCGCGUGGAUGAUGAAGGCCUUCGGGUCGUAAAAUCCUGUCAGAUGGAAAGAAGUGCAUAUGUAUUAACAGUAUGUAUGUUUGACGGUACCAUCAAAG
rnacentral:rRNA from 1 species